rnacentral:rRNA from 1 species
UGGGGAAUAUUGGACAAUGGGCGCAAGCCUGAUCCAGCCAUGCCGCGUGAGUGAUGAAGGCCUUAGGGUUGUAAAGCUCUUUCAGCGGGGAAGAUAAUGACGGUACCCGCAGAAGAAGCCCCGGCUAACUUCGUGCCAGCAGCCGCGGUAAUACGAAGGGGGCUAGCGUUGUUCGGAAUCACUGGGCGUAAAGCGCGCGUAGGCGGAUCAUUAAGUCAGGGGUGAAAUCCCGAGGCUCAACCUCGGAACUGCCUUUGAUACUGGUGAUCUUGAGUCCGGGAGAGGUGAGUGGAACUCCUAGUGUAGAGGUGAAAUUCGUAGAUAUUAGGAAGAACACCAGUGGCGAAGGCGGCUCACUGGCCCGGUACUGACGCUGAUGUGCGAAAGCGUGGGGAGCAAACAGG